rnacentral:rRNA from 1 species
GACGAACUUUGGCGGCGUGCUUAACACAUGCAAGUCGAACGGAAAGGCCCUGCUUUUGUGGGGUGCUCGAGUGGCGAACGGGUGAGUAACACGUGAGUAACCUGCCCUUGACUUUGGGAUAACUUCAGGAAACUGGGGCUAAUACCGGAUAGGAGCUCCUGCUGCAUGGUGGGGGUUGGAAAGUUUCGGCGGUUGGGGAUGGACUCGCGGCUUAUCAGCUUGUUGGUGGGGUAGUGGCUUACCAAGGCUUUGACGGGUAGCCGGCCUGAGAGGGUGACCGGCCACAUUGGGACUGAGAUACGGCCCAGACUCCUACGGGAGGCAGCAGUGGGGAAUAUUGCACAAUGGGCGGAAGCCUGAUGCAGCAACGCCGCGUGCGGGAUGGCGGCCUUCGGGUUGUAAACCGCUUUCGCCUGUGACGAAGCGUGAGUGACGGUAAUGGGUAAAGAAGCACCGGCUAACUACGUGCCAGCAGCCGCGGUGAUACGUAGGGUGCGAGCGUUGUCCGGAUUUAUUGGGCGUAAAGGGCUCGUAGGUGGUUGAUCGCGUCGGAAGUGUAAUCUUGGGGCUUAACCCUGAGCGUGCUUUCGAUACGGGUUGACUUGAGGAAGGUAGGGGAGAAUGGAAUUCCUGGUGGAGCGGUGGAAUGCGCAGAUAUCAGGAGGAACACCAGUGGCGAAGGCGGUUCUCUGGGCCUUUCCUGACGCUGAGGAGCGAAAGCGUGGGGAGCGAACAGGCUUAGAUACCCUGGUAGUCCACGCUGUAAACGGUGGGUACUAGGUGUGGGGUCCAUUCCACGGGUUCCGUGCCGUAGCUAACGCUUUAAGUACCCCGCCUGGGGAGUACGGCCGCAAGGCUAAAACUCAAAGGAAUUGACGGGGCCCCGCACAAGCGGCGGAGCAUGCGGAUUAAUUCGAUGCAACGCGUAGAACCUUACCUGGGUUUGACAUGGAUCGGGAGUGCUCAGAGAUGGGUGUGCCUCUUUUGGGGUCGGUUCACAGGUGGUGCAUGGCUGUCGUCAGCUCGUGUCGUGAGAUGUUGGGUUAAGUCCCGCAACGAGCGCAACCCUUGUUCACUGUUGCCAGCACGUUAUGGUGGGGACUCAGUGGAGACCGCCGGGGUCAACUCGGAGGAAGGUGGGGAUGACGUCAAGUCAUCAUGCCCCUUAUGUCCAGGGCUUCACGCAUGCUACAAUGGCUGGUACAGAGAGUGGCGAGCCUGUGAGGGUGAGCGAAUCUCGGAAAGCCGGUCUCAGUUCGGAUUGGGGUCUGCAACUCGACCUCAUGAAGUCGGAGUCGCUAGUAAUCGCAGAUCAGCAACGCUGCGGUGAAUACGUUCCCGGGGC